rnacentral:rRNA from 1 species
GACGAACCGUGCGAACGUUGUUCGGAUUCACUGGGCUUAAAGGGCGCGUAGGCGGCUCCGCAAGUCAGGGGUGAAAGCCCCCAGCUCAACUGGGGAAGUGCCUUUGAUACUGCGGAGCUCGAGCGAGGUAGGGGUGAUGGGAACUUCCGGUGGAGCGGUGAAAUGCGUUGAUAUCGGAAGGAACGCCGGUGGCGAAAGCGCAUCACUGGACCUCUCCUGACGCUGAGGCGCGAAAGCCAGGGGAGCAAACGGG